GACGUAGGGUGCAAGCGUUGUCCGGAUUUACUGGGCGUAAAGAGCGCGUAGGCGGCUCGUUAAGUGUGAAGUGAAAUCUCCAGGGCUCAACCCGGAAACUGCUUCGCAUACUGGCGAGCUUGAGGAAUGCAGAGGUUAGUGGAAUUCCUGGUGUAGCGGUGAAAUGCGUUGAUAUCAGGAGGAACACCCAAUGGCGAAGGCAG
rnacentral:rRNA from 1 species